rnacentral:lncRNA from 1 species
AAAACUGUGGCAUGAUUCACUGUACCCUAGUGCUUUUUGGGAACAGAAAUACUUAAAGCUGCAAAGUAAGGCCCUUCUUGUGAGGCUCUCUGACUAGACUGGAACCACCAACUAUUCAAUCCAUUGUACAAAAUCUCUUUCACAAUUCUCAUCAGCUUUUUUUCUAGACCUGGAGCACUGUGAUUUUGGGCUUUAGUCAUAAUCUACAUUCUCCCUUCAAAACAUCCCUGUGAUUUUUGGAGCAUCUUGGCAGAAGGUGAACUUGUACGUGACAGCAUCUGGAUGUCCAUGCAUUUUUUUGAGCCCUGUUGUGUAGACGACAGUGGAGUGAAUAGCCACUCUGCACCACAGCUUGCACAUGGGACUGCGGACCCCAGGGAUCCCAUCCUCAGCCUCAUGCUGGAUUUCCUCUGGAAAUUGUAAAUAUCAGAGUUGGACACUGAUCCUGCAGGGUAAAAAG